rnacentral:rRNA from 1 species
UACGGAGGGUGCGAGCGUUGUCCGGAAUCAUUGGGCGUAAAGGGCGCGUAGGUGGCCUGCUAAGCGUGCGGUGAAAGUCGGGGGCUCAACCCCCGAUCGGCCGUGCGAACUGGGAGGCUUGAGCACUGUAGAGGCAGGCGGAAUUCCGGGUGUAGCGGUGGAAUGCGUAGAGAUCCGGAGGAACACCGGGUGGCGAAGGCGGGUCUCUGGGCCGGAUACUGACGCUGAGGAGCGAAAGCGUGGGGAGCGAACAGG